rnacentral:rRNA from 1 species
GACGAACGCUGGCGGCGUGCCUAAUACAUGCAAGUAGAACGCACAGUUUAUACCGUAGCUUGCUACACCAUAGACUGUGAGUUGCGAACGGGUGAGUAACGCGUAGGUAACCUGCCUGGUAGCGGGGGAUAACUAUUGGAAACGAUAGCUAAUACCGCAUAAUAUUAAUUAUUGCAUGAUAAUUAAUUGAAAGGUGCAAUUGCACCACUACCAGAUGGACCUGCGUUGUAUUAGCUAGUAGGUGAGGUAACGGCUCACCUAGGCGACGAUACAUAGCCGACCUGAGAGGGUGAUCGGCCACACUGGGAUUGAGACACGGCCCAGACUCCUACGGGAGGCAGCAGUAGGGAAUCUUCGGCAAUGGACGAAAGUCUGACCGAGCAACGCCGCGUGAGUGAAGAAGGUUUUCGGAUCGUAAAGCUCUGUUGUAAGAGAAGAACGGGUGUGAGAGUGGAAAGUUCACACUGUGACGGUAUCUUACCAGAAAGGGACGGCUAACUACGUG